rnacentral:lncRNA from 1 species
AUGAAGAAGUGCCUCCCACCUCCCCAGGUAACCUGCCCCGCUUCCGAGGGGCAGUCCCACGGCAAUGGCACAGCCUCAUCAGACCCUGGGGCUGCCGUCGCCGUGCCCACCGCGGGGUCAGCCCCCGCCGCCUCUACAGCAGGGAUGCGAUGCAGAGAUGCUGGUCCCGUCCCCACGUCCUGGAACGAGGGUCCAGCCGCUGCCCUCCCCACACGGGGAGCUCCAGCCCACGGGAUGCUGGUCCGAGGCUCCUCACUCCCUGCCCCUCUACCACGGGUCCAUAUGCCCCUCGGCGCCGCCACCGCUCGAACCGCCCGGGGCCGGGGUCCCCCGCUGCGCCCCCGGCUCCACCUGGACGAUCGGGAGGGUCCGCGCGGUUGCGUCCGCGGAGCAGGCAGGGGAGCGCGGCGGGGACCGGCGAUGCCACGGGCCGGGCCGGGCACGGGCCGGCGGUGUCACCGCAGGGAGCGGAGCGCCCGGCGGAGCCCCCGCUCGGGGCAGGGGACAUCUGCACUGCGUCUUCCAGCAAGGGAUGGAGCAGGAUGGAGGCUGGUUGUCAGGAGCUCUGGAAAAGUGUGGAUUACAACCCAACUUUAACACUGAAGCAGCUGCUGGUUUGAAUGUGGACUGACAUCUGAGAGCACCUCAAGACACACAUUGGUUGAUGAAACAACACAAAGAAAAGCUGGAGGCUGUGCCAAAUAGUUCAUAACCAUGGAGGAAAACUUGGCAGAGGAGCAGAGAAAGGAAGGGAGGAAUUAAUGCUAAAACAUGUGUCUGAGUGGUUUUGAUGUGUUUGUUUCAUGUUAGCUUUCUUAGAUGUUGUCAGCUGUUGCUAAGUUUUGUACACCUAACAGCAAAGAUGGUAUUAAUGAAAAUAGACCCAGUAUGGGAAGAGGGCAUUUACUGAAUUUAGAAGUCUAUCCAGAUCCCUUUCGCUGUUAGAUGGAUUUUAUUAUAAAAAAAUCUACCUUUUUGAUUUGGAGUCACCCAACAAAACCAGUCCUUGGCUGAGAUGGAUGUUUGACUUGAGUUCUGACGUUCUCUUUUUCUUCUUUUUAAACUAAAAAAAACCUUAACUUUAAAAAAAUGAUACAGUAUUUGCAGAAUCAAUAGAAAAGCUGACCCAGAUAAAAGUGUGCAAAAAUUGGU